rnacentral:rRNA from 1 species
GAUGAACGCUAGCGGCAGGCCUAACACAUGCAAGUCGAGGGGUAGCAGGAUUAAGCUUGCUUAAUUGCUGACGACCGGCGCACGGGUGCGUAUCGCGUAUGCAACCUACCUUAUACUGGGGUAUAGCCCGGAGAAAUUCGGAUUAAUCCCCCAUAGUACUAAUGAAUCGCAUGGUUUAUUAGUUAAAGCAUUGCGGUAUAAGAUGGGCAUGCGUCCUAUUAGCUAGAUGGUGAGGUAACGGCUCACCAUGGCUACGAUAGGUAGGGGGCCUGAGAGGGUGGUCCCACACACUGGUACUGAGACACGGACCAGACUCCUACGGGAGGCAGCAGUGAGGAAUAUUGGUCAAUGGGCGCAAGCCUGAACCAGCCAUGCCGCGUGCAGGAAGAAUGCCCUAUGGGUUGUAAACUGCUUUUAUUUGGGAAUAAACCUCUUUACGUGUAGAGAGCUGAAGGUACCAAAUGAAUAAGCACCGGCUAACUCCGUGCCAGCCGCCGCAGUAA